GCUUCUGGCAGGACUGCUGGAGAGACACACACACACACACACACACACAUACACACACACAAACAGACACACACACACACACACACACACACACAGCCUAUUAGCAGAGAAGGAGUUCUGGGAUUUUUAAAGAAAUAUGAAACAAAAACCUUCAGGGCUAUUGAAUUCCACUCGGGAUACUUGAAGCAGUCUCUUUUUAUUUUGUUUUUCUCGACACUUGCAGGAAGUGUCGCUUCUCUUAUCGCUUUCUUUCAACGUGACCAAUAACGGGUUGGUAUUAAGAAGGGGUUGGCUGCUGAACUAGUAGGAGAACAACAGUCAGAGAUUAUUUAGAGAAUUUUCAGAGAGCUACUUGUUGCUUUACGUGACAUCAAGUCCUCAAAGAUUUGUCAGUUCGAUCGACAGAAAACAGAAAAAAAUAGAUUCAUUAUUUAAGUGACUUAUCAAGCAAAAAAAGUUUUCAUUGAGGUUUAUAUCAUUAUAAAUUUGGGUUUUGGACUGUUUAGAGGACAAAAGAAACUUGAAGAUGUCAUCUUGGACUUUUAGAUUUCUCUUACCUUUUUUGGAUAUUUUCCAAUUUAGGUAUUUUGUUUCUUUAAUACUUUCUGUUAUUUUUACAAUUUGGCACAGCAGUCAACAGUUAUUUUGGGCUUAGAAAAAAAUAAAUAAAUACAUACAUAUCCCUGUCUAU